CAGUCGAGCGAGCGGAACAACAGAUUUACUUCGGUAAUGACGUUGGGAAAGCGAGCGGCGGAUGGGUGAGUAACACGUGGGGAACCUGCCCCUAAGUCUGGGAUACCAUUUGGAAACAGGUGCUAAUACCGGAUAAUAAAGCAGAUCGCAUGAUCAGCUUUUGAAAGGCGGCGUAAGCUGUCGCUAAGGGAUGGCCCCGCGGUGCAUUAGCUAGUUGGUAAGGUAACGGCUUACCAAGGCGACGAUGCAUAGCCGAGUUGAGAGACUGAUCGGCCACAUUGGGACUGAGACACGGCCCAAACUCCUACGGGAGGCAGCAGUAGGGAAUCUUCCACAAUGGACGCAAGUCUGAUGGAGCAACGCCGCGUGAGUGAAGAAGGUUUUCGGAUCGUAAAGCUCUGUUGUUGGUGAAGAAGGAUAGAGGUAGUAACUGGCCUUUAUUUGACGGUAAUCAACCAGAAAGUCACGGCUAACUACGUGCCAGCAGCCGCGGUAAUACGUAGGUGGCAAGCGUUGUCCGGAUUUAUUGGGCGUAAAGCGAGCGCAGGCGGAAAAAUAAGUCUAAUGUGAAAGCCCUCGGCUUAACCGAGGAACUGCAUCGGAAACUGUUUUUCUUGAGUGCAGAAGAGGAGAGUGGAACUCCAUGUGUAGCGGUGGAAUGCGUAGAUAUAUGGAAGAACACCAGUGGC
rnacentral:rRNA from 1 species